GCCCGUGUGGCUCAGUGUUUGAGCAUCAACCUAUGAACUGGAAGGUCAUGGUUAGAUUCCAGGUUAGGGCA
rnacentral:tRNA from 1 species